UCGUUUAAAAAAUGAUUAGUAUCUAAAUAUCUAUAUUUACCGAUUAUGUGGUUACCGCAAUUUCAAAACCAAUUCCUAUGUGUGAAGAUAAUUGAUGAAAGCAAGUAAAGUCUGCUACUAAUUAGUAGCAGACUUUACUUCAUGUAAUCAUGAUUUGUUCGACCUUCACGCGAACCAAUUUUGUUGGCUUGGUGGUAGAAGACCUCUUAACACCUCCUUUGUUAUGUAUGACAUGUACUUCAUCCGAAU
rnacentral:lncRNA from 1 species